ACACCUGUGUCGUCCGCCCUGAUUGUCUGCACCUGUGUCCUCCCCCGUCCGUGUGUGUAUUUAGCCUGCGUCUUCCCCUUGUCUUGUGCCAGUGCGUCUUGCUAGUCAUGAUCACCAGCGACUCCGUAGUCACAGAUAUUCCCUGUGAAAGCCUUGAUAGCAGAGACAUUUUGUCCAAGCUCUGUGUUUUGCUCGCGAGAUUUUGCCUUUGUUUUUCCCUCAGUUUGAGGCGCUUUUUGUUUGCUGUUCUCAGUCCUUUUUCCCCUCGUGUUGAGGCGCUUUUGUUUUUGCCUUUUUCCCUCAUCGUGAGGCACCUUUUGUUCUGGGAGCUGUCUUCCGUGAAGGAAAUAAACUCCUUUUUUUUUUAAACUUUGCAUUUGAGUCCUCUCCCUGCUCUGAGCUUGACACACCCCUGGUUUAGUGUGUACUUCCACAACUUCCUUGUGCAUGGCACGGUAGACUCAGCAAUCAGUUCUCUAAAGAUGGCGUCAGAGUGAGAAGCAGCGCAGACCAUGUCAGGACAUCUUCUAGGAUCAUUAACGGACUCUGUUCAAGAUUUGACACUGGCUAUAAGAUGGGGCGCUACAAAGGAUAUUGACGGUACCAGCUAUUGGCAUGCUGGAGCCUAUCCCAGCAGUCAUUGGGCAGUAGGCGGGGGACACCCUGAACCGGUUGCCAGCUCAUCGCAGGGCACACUGAGACGAACCACCACCCGCACUCGCACUCACACCUAGGGGCAAUUUGGAAUGCUCAAUCGGCCUACCAAGCAUAGUUGGGAGGAAACCAGAGUGCCCGGAUAAAACCCACGCGGGCUCGGGGAGAACAAGCAAACUCCACACAGGAAGGGGCAGAGGUGGAAUCGAACUGACAUACUCCUAAAUGUGAAGCGGAUGUGAUAACCAGUGCGCCACCAAGCUGCCAGAACCUCUAACAUUUGGGUCAAAAUACUUAUGUGUGAGUCUACUAACACCUAAGGAUACAGGGAAUCGCACGGCUGUGUUAACCUCCGUAAUGAAAUAAUUGUCACUGGUGAGUGAGCACAUACUGUGAAUGACACACUGGUGAUCUUGACAUUGUGCAAAGAGAACCUUGGCUGAAUCUUUGGGUUGCAGAGCCGGAUGACUGUAACCUUAGGGCUGGAUGUCCUUGAGACACACGGCUGCUGCUGCUAAUCUGACAAAAAAAGGAACACUUAUCCUUCCAGGUCAUAUUGUCCAGUUUUCCCAGCCACAGACAGUGCCAGGUUAUUGUCAGACCACUCCAUUACAGUAUUCCCUGCUGAAACAGCAUCCAGAAGCAACACUUGGUCAAUCCUGCCAACACCAAAACCCUGGCAUAAAGUCAAGAUCAGCUUUAUUUGCCAAGUUUGUGCAUGCCAAACAAGGAAUUUGUCUUCAGUUGAUCUCAGUCUCUGUACAACAAUCAAGUGACUAACAACAUUCAGGUGACUAACAACAUUGAAGUGGCAAGAACAGGAUAUUUAUUGCCUAGAGAUGUCACUAAGACUCUGAGUGGUGUGAGUUCAUCAGAGCUACAGCCUGGGGGAAGAAGCUGAUCGUCCGUUGCAGUCUGUGCUUGUCUUGUUUGGUGGCUGAUCCAAACCAGUGAUGGAGGUGCAGAGGAUAGACUGGAUGAUGGCAGUUGAAGAGAGAGCAUCAGCAAUGUGUACAUAUUUUGCUAGUUUGAACCGAAACUGACCACUAGGAAGACUACGACAGAGCCCCGAGCGGAGUGCUAGCUUGUUAGCACCAGCACACAGGC